ensembl:snoRNA
AUCCAUGUGGAAAUGUCUGCUCCUCAUUCUUUUAGGAUCAGGAAUACAUUCAUAACAUGUUACAUUAAUAAAGGAGUUCUCAGGGCUGCCAACCUUAUAGUAGAGGUUGGGUGGUAGUGUAUUUCUUCUACAUAA